rnacentral:rRNA from 1 species
CACUAUCGUUAACUGAAUACAUAGGUUAACGAGGCGAACCGGGGGAACUGAAACAUCUAAGUACCCCGAGGAAAAGAAAUCAACCGAGAUUCCCCCAGUAGCGGCGAGCGAACGGGGAGCAGCCCAGAGUCUGAAUCAGCUUGUGUGUUAGUGGAACGGUCUGGAAAGUCCGACGGUACAGGGUGAUAGUCCCGUACACCAAAAUGCACAGGUUGUGAACUCGAAGAGUAGGGCGGGACACGUGGUAUCCUGUCUGAAUAUGGGGGGACCAUCCUCCAAGGCUAAAUACUCCUGACUGACCGAUAGUGAACCAGUACCGUGAGGGAAAGGCGAAAAGAACCCCGGCGAGGGGAGUGAAAAAGAACCUGAAACCGUGUACGUACAAGCAGUGGGAGCACCUUCGGGUGUGACUGCGUACCUUUUGUAUAAUGGGUCAGCGACUUAUAUUCUGUAGCAAGGUUAACCGUAUAGGGGAGCCGCAGGGAAACCGAGUCUUAACUGGGCGUUAAGUUGCAGGGUAUAGACCCGAAACCCGGUGAUCUAGCCAUGGGCAGGUUGAAGGUUGGGUAACACUAACUGGAGGACCGAACCGACUAAUGUUGAAAAAUUAGCGGAUGACUUGUGGCUGGGGGUGAAAGGCCAAUCAAACCGGGAGAUAGCUGGUUCUCCCCGAAAGCUAUUUAGGUAGCGCCUCGUGAAUUCAUCUUCGGGGGUAGAGCACUGUUUCGGCUAGGGGGUCAUCCCGACUUACCAACCCGAUGCAAACUACGAAUACCGAAGAAUGUUAUCACGGGAGACACACGGCGGGUGCUAACGUCCGUCGUGAAGAGGGAAACAACCCAGACCGCCAGCUAAGGUCCCAAAGUCAUGGUUAAGUGGGAAACGAUGUGGGAAGGCACAGACAGCCAGGAUGUUGGCUUAGAAGCAGCCAUCAUUUAAAGAAAGCGUAAUAGCUCACUGGUCGAGUCGGCCUGCGCGGAAGAUGUAACGGGGCUAAACCAUGCACCGAAGCUGCGGCAGCGACACUAUGUGUUGUUGGGUAGGGGAGCGUUCUGUAAGCCUGCGAAGGUGUGCUGUGAGGCAUGCUGGAGGUAUCAGAAGUGCGAAUGCUGACAUAAGUAACGAUAAAGCGGGUGAAAAGCCCGCUCGCCGGAAGACCAAGGGUUCCUGUCCAACGUUAAUCGGGGCAGGGUGAGUCGACCCCUAAGGCGAGGCCGAAAGGCGUAGUCGAUGGGAAACAGGUUAAUAUUCCUGUACUUGGUGUUACUGCGAAGGGGGGACGGAGAAGGCUAUGUUAGCCGGGCGACGGUUGUCCCGGUUUAAGCAUGUAGGCUGGUUAUCCAGGCAAAUCCGGAUAAUCAAGGCUGAGGUGUGAUGACGAGGUACUACGGUGCUGAAGUAACAAAUGCCCUGCUUCCAGGAAAAGCCUCUAAGCAUCAGGUAACAUCAAAUCGUACCCCAAACCGACACAGGUGGUCAGGUAGAGAAUACCAAGGCGCUUGAGAGAACUCGGGUGAAGGAACUAGGCAAAAUGGUGCCGUAACUUCGGGAGAAGGCACGCUGGUGUGUAGGUGAAGUCCCUGCGGAUGGAGCUGAGACCAGUCGAAGAUACCAGCUGGCUGCAACUGUUUAUUAAAAACACAGCACUGUGCAAACACGAAAGUGGACGUAUACGGUGUGACGCCUGCCCGGUGCCGGAAGGUUAAUUGAUGGGGUUAUCCGUAAGGAGAAGCUCUUGAUCGAAGCCCCGGUAAACGGCGGCCGUAACUAUAACGGUCCUAAGGUAGCGAAAUUCCUUGUCGGGUAAGUUCCGACCUGCACGAAUGGCGUAAUGAUGGCCAGGCUGUCUCCACCCGAGACUCAGUGAAAUUGAACUCGCUGUGAAGAUGCAGUGUACCCGCGGCAAGACGGAAAGACCCCGUGAACCUUUACUAUAGCUUGACACUGAACAUUGAGCCUUGAUGUGUAGGAUAGGUGGGAGGCUUUGAAGCGUGGACGCCAGUCUGCGUGGAGCCAACCUUGAAAUACCACCCUUUAAUGUUUGAUGUUCUAACGUUGGCCCCUGACCGGGGUUGCGGACAGUGUCUGGUGGGUAGUUUGACUGGGGCGGUCUCCUCCCAAAGCGUAACGGAGGAGCACGAAGGUUAGCUAAUCCUGGUCGGACAUCAGGAGGUUAGUGCAAUGGCAUAAGCUAGCUUGACUGCGAGCGUGACGGCGCGAGCAGGUGCGAAAGCAGGUCAUAGUGAUCCGGUGGUUCUGAAUGGAAGGGCCAUCGCUCAACGGAUAAAAGGUACUCCGGGGAUAACAGGCUGAUACCGCCCAAGAGUUCAUAUCGACGGCGGUGUUUGGCACCUCGAUGUCGGCUCAUCACAUCCUGGGGCUGAAGUAGGUCCCAAGGGUAUGGCUGUUCGCCAUUUAAAGUGGUACGCGAGCUGGGUUUAGAACGUCGUGAGACAGUUCGGUCCCUAUCUGCCGUGGGCGCUGGAGAAUUGAGGGGGGCUGCUCCUAGUACGAGAGGACCGGAGUGGACGCAUCACUGGUGUUCGGGUUGUCAUGCCAAUGGCACUGCCCGGUAGCUAAAUGCGGAAGAGAUAAGUGCUGAAAGCAUCUAAGCACGAAACUUGCCCCGAGAUGAGUUCUCCCUGAGACUUUAAGUCUCCUGAAGGAACGUUGAAGACGACGACGUUGAUAGGCCGGGUGUGUAAGCGCAGCGAUGCGUUGAGCUAACCGGUACUAAUGAACCGUGAGGCUUAACCUU